UACAGAGGGUGCGAGCGUUGUUCGGAAUUAUUGGGCGUAAAGGGCGCGUAGGCGGUGCGGUAAGUCACCUGUGAAAUCUCCUGGCUCAACUGGGAGCUUGCAGGCGAAACUGCCGUGCUGGAGUGUGGGAGAGGUGCGUGGAAUUCCCAGUGUAGAGGUGAAAUUCGUAGAUAUUGGGAAGAACACCGGUGGCGAAGGCGGCGAGCUGGUCCAUUACUGACGCUGAGGCGCGACAGCGUGGGGAGCAAACAGG
rnacentral:rRNA from 1 species